rnacentral:lncRNA from 1 species
CAACAGGUGCUUUCCGAACAGCGCUUAUUAACUCAUUAUAAAAGCAUUUUCAGAGCAGUUCGAUUUGCUUUUGCUGCAAAGCAUUUCAAUUGCCUCCGACACUCGCACUCGCAUUUCGAAAUGCGUGCUCGGUCGCUGGUGCUUUUGCUUUGCUUUUGCUGUGCUUUUGCCGAUCUUGCUGCCGUGUCCGGCUGCUGCGACCUUCAAUUGCUCUGGCAGCGGAAAGGGUGACUCAAGCGAACAAGUGGCAAAUAACAGGAAACUGCUUCUUGCUCCUUUGCCGCAAACGAACACUUUGUGCAAUGCAAAUUUAAUUUGCUAAAUGAUUUUGCCGGGACCGGGCGGAUAUCUGGGAAACUUGUUUUGCUGGAGUGUGUUUCUAUAUGUGCAAUGGCGGCAUUUCCACGCUUGUGCGGCAGAUGCAAAUGUCACCAAAGUCAGCCCAGUCAUCGUGGAUGGGCGUGGAAUGAGCUGCACUUGGUCUGUAACGGAAGGUGCAGCAGGCCUUCGACAAAAAUCCGUUGCAUAUUCCAAUGAAAAUUCCUGGGGAAAUUCAAUCCUGCCGGUUUCUAUAACGAAUUGAUACUUCCGCAGCUGAAUUGAAAAAAGUGCCCAAAUCAAAUCGUUCCCACCAACAUUCCCAGACCCAAAACUGCGGUAUAUGGCAUAUUUCUUUCUAAGUAGGGCUAUCGAGGUUUCGCACACUAUGACCGUGGAGCGAUAUAGCGAUAUGCGAUACAUUUGUCAUACUCCACUCCAUAUGCCGUGAGUCGAGAAACUGCCGAGAUCAGCUGAUUUUCCGGGGUCCCAACAUGAAUAUGAAUGGGGAGAAUUUGAUAUGAUACUUUGCCUUUAAUUACUUCACUUGAAAGUUGGCCAUUGUACGUCAAUUGAGUCAUCAUCAUUAUCCGUGCACCCGAGUCCAAAAGCCCGAUAAUAAAUAACAAAAGCAUUUGGGGGCUGCGCUGCGGUUAUUGGAUACACAAGCGGAUAUACAACACUCCCCAUCAGAACUUUGGAAACGGGAAUGGGGGCCUGGGCAGGAACUGGGCUGCCCGACAAAUGUUUCUCAUAAACCACAAUUUGAUAUCUGCAAACAGAACUUGAGAACUUGAACUUGAACGGCGAUGCAAAUGCGAGAAAAAGUUUCUUAUCAGCAUUAUGCGUUUUACAAGAAGUAAGCAAUAUUAUUCCAACCUAAUAGCGAUCAAAUAAACGGACAAUGUGAAGGGGAUUUCCAGUGUUUGCUCUCUAUCGUUCAAAUAUUUAGGCCAAUAAAACAAAAGCUGUGCAAUCUAUUUAGAUAUAUUUACAUAAUUAAAAUAGGUAAAUAAAUAAAUUGAAUGUAU